GGAAAUGGAAGGCUUGCAUACUUAACAGUAUCCUCUCCCACUUAGGUAAGGAACCUGCUGCGCGUGAGAUCCCAUUACCAAGUAAAGGGUCACUGAAAGGCGAUAACAAGAGAAAGGGCUCAUGUCUGACUGCCAGUGUUAGCAUAAAGGAGAGCCAUUUUGCCAAGAACAAUACAGCCUGUGGAACUCACCAGAGAAGUGCCCCAGUAACAACCCGACCUGCAUUAUUUGCAAACCAUGACCUGGAUGUUCCGAAGAUAGCAGCCACACAAAAUUCUCCGCCCAUCGAUUUGCUGGGUGAAAUUUGUGGAGGAGGUUUAACUUUGCUUAAAAAAUAAAAUAAGAGUAAAAAACAAUUAUCAUGAUGAAAUGAUACUCCUUUAGGUAAUGACAGUUUUUCCUUUAAAUUCCACCCCUAUUCAAAUCCUCCAGUAUGAACAUGCAUUUUGCCUUAAGUAAUAAAUGGUGAUGUGAG
rnacentral:lncRNA from 1 species